GGAAAGGAAGGGUCUCUAGCUUGAUAUCCUUGUGUUUCUGAGGCCUUCUAAAGAUAAAAGACUUUGCUAUUGAGUUCUUUGGAAAGACUUCACUCCUGCUGGACAGAAGCAGUUAUCUAGACUGGGUGAAAUGAACUUCUGGAUAAUCAGAGAACAGCAAGAGAGAAAGACCCAAGAGUCAAGGAAGAGCUCCUCAAAUGUGUAGAAUGGAUGGGAGAUAGUUUUAUAUUCCAUGUAUACAACUUCUCUGCAGUCUAACAGUUCACCAGCUCCUGCUUGGUUUGUAAGGCUCCUAGACUCUCCUCCUUUUUGGCAGAACUGAGUGAAAUUGGCUGUGAGUACACCAACCUGAUCUACAACAUCUUUCCCCACUGAGUAGGAUUUAGCUGGCUGUGUUCAAGACUGCUUCUGACACAGUGCACUGUUCCAUUCUGAAAAUAGCUGUGUUGUGAGAUGCCUUAUCUGGGGCUAUGGUUAGGAGCUGUGGUUAAGCUCAAGGCCUUGUCCUUGCUUCUUGCCUGAGCUACGUGGUAAUUAUAUGCUUGUGCCCAGAAGCGUAUCCUGCUGACCUUGCCAUGCUGUUGGGACCUUCUGGCUGGACCUCAGAUAUGCUCCAUCACUGCAGACUCUUUUGGUGACCAUUGUCAGAUGAGUCUGGUUACUACUCUGCUCUUAUUGUUCCUGCACGUGUAUCUGUUGUAUUAGGCAUGCUGCUGGGAUGCGGUUGUAACGAGAAAGGCCCUCCCUAUGGCUUGCUAUUAUUGGUUGACCUCCAUUCGAACCUGUGAUGUGGGACUUGAAGGACAGGAGAAAAGGACUGGUCUACAGACACGUGACUCAACCAUAUAAGGGGAACAUUGCCACAUGUUAGGUAUGCGCUCCUCCUGCUUGCGCCAAUCUGCUUUUGCCAUGAUUGCUAAAAUCAAUAAGAAGCAUUAUAAAGGGCAUAAUGCAGUUUGAAUAAAGGUCUUGGUCUUGCUGCUGCACAAGUGUGUGAAGCUUCACGUAUCUUCCCCUUUUGGCUUUGAGGAUGCUGCCCCUGCCUGCCCCACUGGUCUUCUGCUUAUCUUCCCUUAUGGAGCAGCCAGCUCUUGUUGUUUUAGGGAUAUGGUUUACUGGGCAUGGUGGUAAUGGACUAGAUGAUCUUAGUGGUCUU